UCCCAUUUGAAUAGCUCAGUUAGGAGAGCAUGAGACUCUUAAUAUCCAGGUUGUGGGUUCAAACCCCACAUUGGGCA